AUUGAACGCUGGCGGCAGGCCUAACACAUGCAAGUCGAGCGGAAGAAGCGAGCUUGCUCCUGGAUCCAGCGGCGGACGGGUGAGUAAUGCCUAGGAAUCUGCCUGGCAGUGGGGGAUAACGUCCGGAAACGGCCGCUACUACCGCAUACGUCCUGAGGGAGCAAGAGGGGGAUCUUCGGACCUCACGCUAUCAGAUGAGCCUAGGUCGGAUUAGUUAGUUGGUUGGGUAAAGGCCUACCAACGAGACGAGCCGUAACUGGUCUGAGAGGAUGAUCGGUCACACUGGAACGUAGACACGGUCCAGACUCCUACGGGAGGCAGCAGUGGGGAAUAUUGGACAAUGGGCGAAAGCCUGAUCCAGCCAUGCCGCGUGUGUGAAGAAGGUCUUCCGAUUGUAAAGCACUUUUAGUUGGGAGGAAGGGCAGUAAGUUAAUACCUUGCUGUUUUGACGUUACCAACAGAAUAAGCACCGGCUAACUACGUG
rnacentral:rRNA from 1 species